rnacentral:lncRNA from 1 species
GAUUCAGCCCCAGCACUGCACCUGAUACUGCAAAAUAAAUACCACAGGAUACCAAAAUAAAUACCACGAGGAUACCAAAAAAUAACCAAAUACUUGUUUGGGGAGGUGGUAAGAGUUACAGCCUAUAAUGCAGAAUGUGGUAAUAAUUCUUUCUUAACAUGACAUUCCUUGCACUUUUCAACCUAGUCCCAGUUUCUCAAUUUGCUCAGCUAUUGCAUUCUGCAAUUUCCACACCACCCUGACGAUUCAUA